rnacentral:lncRNA from 1 species
AAGACGGGGCAUUGCAGGAGACAAGUGUUUGCUAUUUACAACAGCCUUAGCAUAUGGGCAUCAGCAAAGUCACCUGCCGGCAGUACUGAGGUACAGAAAUCAGUGGCUGGAUCUUCAGAASAGCUCACCAAGUUUUGAAAAUUGGACCAUGUAU